GAUGAACGCUGGCGGCGUGCCUAAUACAUGCAAGUCGAACGGAAAGGCCUCUUCGGAGGUACUCGAGUGGCGGACGGCUGAGUAACGCGUAGGAAUGUACCCCAAAGUGAGGAAUAACUGCUCGAAAGGGUAGCUAAUACCGCAUGUGCUCUAAGGAGUAAAGCUUAGGCGCUUUGGGAACAGCCGGCGUAAGAUUAGCUUGUUGGUGAGGUAAUGGCUCACCAAGGCGACGAUCUUUAGCUGGUCUGAGAGGAUGAUCAGCCAGACUGGGACUGAGACACGGCCCAGACUCCUACGGGAGGAAGCAGUAGGGAAUUUUCCACAAUGGACGAAAGUCUGAUGGAGCAACGCCGCGUGCAGGAUGAAGGACCUUGGGUUGUAAACUGCUUUUAUAUGUGAAGAAAAUGACGGUAGCAUAUGAAUAAGGAUCGGCUAACUCCGUGCCAGCAGCCGCGGUAA
rnacentral:rRNA from 1 species